rnacentral:lncRNA from 1 species
AAACUGCUCAGUGAGAUCAGACAAAGUAGGAGCAGAAGGUUUCAAAGUAUCAAUAACGGAUGAGUCAAAAUGAGGUACAACAGUUUGUACUGGGCCUAUGGAUAGAUGUGGUUAUUGACCUCCCAAAUUUUCAGAAGACUAAUGUUGCCACUACUAUGAGGACCGUUGCUGACUCUUUGGAGGUUGUUGUCUCUUCAAUAACUUAGGACACUAAGCCUUCCAAUGUCCCUUAUGCUUGCAAAAGCUACAUUCAUCACUAACAAGUCUCAAAUAAGACCUCAUUUGAUUCUGUGUGAAUGGUCGAGAAGAGACAGCCAAAACUGAAGCAGUGGAUGUUGAUAAAGAUAUUUUUCCUGCAUGGGAUUUCAAACUUUUUUCCUCUGCCAAAAGUUUACUAACAACAGAAUCAAUGGAAGGAAGUGGAUUACGAUGCAGAAUUGACCCACGAAGCCCUUCAAAUUCAUCACGAAGAGCCAUAAAAAACUGAACCAAACGCCGUCGCUUUCUACUCUUAAUAUAUGGUUUAUAAGCUCGAAGUUCAUCAUCUUCCGUAAGAGUCAAUUUGAUCCCAAAGUUUGGUAAUUGCAGAAUAAAGUUCUUGAACACUCAUAUUUUUCUACUCUGUUGCUCGAAUAUCUGCUUCUAAUUGGUAUUCCAUUGCAAAAUUAGACUGUGUGAACAACCUUGCUAAAUGGUCCCAAAUUUCCUUAGCUGUCUCAUAUUUUGCUAAUUGUAUACCAAUAGAUGUUCAACAAAAUUAAAUAUCCAAGUGGUAAUUUUAGCAUUGUUCAUGUCCCAAGUACGAAGCAUUUCUACAAACUUUUCAUUUUCAUUUUCAUCAAGCUGAGGUUUGGUCUCAAUACCA